rnacentral:rRNA from 1 species
ACAGGGAUUACCUCAGUAACGGCGAGUGAAGCGGUAACAGCUCAAAUUUGAAAUCUGGUCCCCUCUGGGGGCCCGAGUUGUAAUUUGAAGAGGAUGCUUUUGGCGAGGCGCCUUCCGAGUGCCCUGGAACGGGACGCCACAGAGGGUGAGAGCCCCGUAUGGUAGGACGCCGAGCCUCUGUAAAGCUCCUUCGACGAGUCGAGUAGCUUGGGAAUGCUGCUCAAAAUGGGAGGUAAACCCCUUCUAAAGCUAAAUAUUGGCCAGAGACCGAUAGCGCACAAGUAGAGUGAUCGAAAGAUGAAAAGCACUUUGAAAAGAGAGUUAAACAGCACGUGAAAUUGUUGAAAGGGAAGCGCUUGCGACCAGACUUGCGCCCGUCGGAUCAACCGUCCCUCGUGGGCGGCGCACUCCGGCGGGCUCAGGCCAGCAUCAGUUUUCCUGGGGGUAGAAAGGCGGUGGGAAUGUAGCUCUUCGGAGUGUUAUAGCCCGCCGCGUAAUGCCCUCGGGGGGACUGAGGACCGCGCGUAUGCAAGGAUGCUGGCGUAAUGGUCGUCAGCGACCCGUCUUGAAACACGGACCAAGGAGUCGUCCUAAUAUGCGAGUGUACGGGUGUAAAACCCCUGCGCGUAAUGAAAGUGAACGGAGGUGAGAGCUUCGGCGCAUCAUCGACCGAUCCUGAUGUUCUCGGAUGGAUUUGAGUAAGAGCAUAUUGGGCCGGACCCGAAAGAAGGUGAACUAUGCCUGUAUAGGGUGAAGCCAGAGGAAACUCUGGUGGAGGCUCGCAGCGGUUCUGACGUGCAAAUCGAUCGUCAAAUAUGGGCAUGGGGGCGAAAGACUAAUCGAACCU